UACGUAGGGUGCGAGCGUUGUCCGGAAUUAUUGGGCGUAAAGGGCUCGUAGGCGGUCUGUCGCGUCGGGAGUGAAAACUCAGGGCUUAACCCUGAGCCUGCUUCCGAUACGGGCAGACUAGAGGUAUGCAGGGGAGAACAGAAUUCCUGGUGUAGCGGUGGAAUGCGCAGAUAUCAGGAGGAACACCGGUGGCGAAGGCGGUUCUCUGGGCAUUACCUGACGCUGAGGAGCGAAAGUGUGGGGAGCGAACAGG
rnacentral:rRNA from 1 species